UUUAAAGUUAUAUUCCUGGUCAAAUUCAUCAAAACAGAUUGUCAAAUUAACGCCUUAUUGUUAUCAAAUGCAUUAUUUAACUAGUAUUGACAAAGUUUUCCAACUUAGAAACGCUCUCCGUAACAUUUCUGACCAUUCUAAAAAAUGCAUUUUCUUAUUUGACUGGGUUAGUCAAAUAAGAUUUAUAUUUUGGCGGGAAGCCCUUCGAUUAUUUCCGUAAAUGUUCGGAUCUGAGUCACGUGAUAUGAUUUACCAAACCAAAAUAAUGGCGGACAAUACGAAAGGUGUGUCACCUAUACGAGAAAUAAAUUUUGAGAUUGGAAAAGGAAAAAGCGAAAAGUGGGAAGAAACUGUGAUUUAAUUCAAUCAAGGAUAUACUCCGGUAGUGAUUCAAAGCGAUGAAAAGUUCUAAAAAGGGUAAUUAAAACCAAAAGCGACCGUGAAGUUGUUAUCUGAUUGACAGAAAUAAGUCAAUUUCAUCAUCAUCAUGUGUUGCAAUACCACUACCAGGGACAUCAAAGAUGACCUGGACUUCAGUGCAUAUGCAGAGGAGAGUAGCACUAAAGAAAGCCAAUAAAAUCCUUUUGGAGUUGAAUUGAGACACAACCAUUCAUUUCUGGUUUAGUUAUAAAACUGCUACAGACUAUAAACUAUUCAUGAUGAUGGAAUACACCAAUGCCUAGUACAAUCAUGGCCCAUUAGAAACCAGAACAAACCAUGGCUGCAAAGGAAAUAAGAUGCACAUAGUCUGAAAGAUCUGGCUGGUGUUCUGAAUAAGAUGACAUAAUAUCUCAACUGCAGGUUUGUUCUCAUCAGAAGUACAGCUGGCAUGGAGGGGUUUCACCAGCACAUCUUGAUGUAUUGUACCAAAAGAUUUGCUUACACACCACCUGUUUAUAGGAUGCACAAUCUUCUAGCAGCCAUAGAUUAUAAUAUACAUGCAAAUAGACCAUACAUCACCAACAAGGGGGAUCUGUUAGACUUCAGCGAGUCUGGAUGAAUUAAAGAAGAAGAAAAAGUAUCAUUAUACCAUUUUUCAUGAUGCUAUAACUCUGAGAAUUAGUGACAUGGAGGGGAUAUAUAAAAUAGAAAGUUAGAGGAAGAUGACCCCCACAGACUUUCAAAAUAUUUGGCCCAAGUUAGCCCGAAGCCUACCCGAGCCAUUCAUGAGGAACAUAAAUCAAGAUAUGAUUGACUUUUUAUGGAAAAGAAUGACAAAUAGUGUGUUACACUGAUUGCCCAACUAUUCAAACAUAUUUAAGCUGACAUUGAACACCUGGUAUUCAUGAUAGUUUUAUGAAAUAUCUUUUUAGAUAUGGCACUGUAUCUAUCUUGUUUCGAAAAAAAUUCUCUUGAUUCAUUUGUCAUGACUCAAGGUCUGUUUUUAAUAUUUUGUCAGAAAAAUGACUACUUUUUAUACAAGUGCAAAAUAUUAUCCAAUCUAUUAAACUAUAAGUGCUGCUAUGAGCUUUAAUGUAGUAACAAAGUUUAAAGUAUUAUUCAAUUUUAUCUUUUGAUAUACAUGUACUAUGUCAUUCACUUUAGCUCAGCUUUUCUUCUUUUUUUUUUUUUUUUUUGAAAAAAGAAAUAGAGGUUGCUGCCCUUGCCUUCUGCAAACUUGAACCUUGUUCAUAACUUUUAAAGUUCUUGGUGUAUUGUCUAACCUUGGCCUUCAUUCAUAAUUGACCUUGACCUUCAAGGUUAAAUGUCUAAAUUUUGGCUUUGCUUGUUAUUUGCUAUUAGUGGCUUUAACUUUAUUGCCCUGUGUUAAUUUUCAUAUUUUAUUUUUGUCUUGGCCAUUUCUCCUAAACUAUAAUGUUCACAAGGCAACACAUCCGACUCGCGGAGAUCAAUUGUUAUUAGUCCAUGAAUUGUUUGUAGUCCAAUCUAGUUAAUUAGACCAAUGUCAUAGGGGCAUUUUAUAUAAAAUCCUUGUUCAAUUAAACAAGGCAAGCCUUAAAAUUAUCUUUGUAUUUACUCCCUCAUCCCAUUCCAGUUUAGAUAGGUUAGGUGGGCUGAUAAAAUAUUUAUUUUUGUGCCCCCACUUUAUUGGCGGGCAUUUAAAUUUACCCUUGUCCGUCUGUCCGUAUUUCACCUAGAGUCAUGAAACUUUACUGUAAUGUUGAUCAGCAAGUGUAGUUGUUCACCUUGGUAUUUUCAUCUGGAUAUUUUUAGUAUUUUCAGAGUUACUGCCAUUGAAUUUUUGCAAUUUUCAACUUGUGUCGCAUGCUUCUCAGGAAGUAUUUGACCUAGAGCAAUGAAACUUUACAGGAAUGUUGAACAUUAUGUGUAGUUGUGCACCUGGGUAUUUUCGUCUGGAUUUAGUAUUUUGAGAGCUAUGGCCCUUGACUUAGUAAAAUUUUGCAAUUUUCAACUUGUGUCGCAUGUAACUCAAAAAGUAUUUGACUUAGAGUCAUGAAACUUUACAGGAAUGUUGAUCAGCAUGUGUAGUUUGCACCUGGGGUUUGGCUUGUGGAUUUAUCCAGUAUUUGUAGAGUUAUUUCCCUUGACUUAGUAAAAAACGUUUAAUUAUGUUGUUAUUUGUUCCUUGAGUGCUUGAGUGAGAAUCAACCAACUUUACAGGAAUAAUGAUCAACAUCACUUAAUUACAGGAAUAAUGAUUUACAUCACUGUGAAGCUAUGAACCUGGGACUUUUAUGUGGAUUUUUUUCAGUUUUGUUAGAGUUAUUGCCCUUGACUUACAGUAGUAUAAAUUUACAAUUUUUAACUUGUUCAUGCAUAGCUAAAAAAAUAUUUAUGUUUUCUUUCAUUUCAUUCAGCCAAACAUAAAUAAUUUAUCAUUUAACUCCAUAAUUAAUAUCCUACAGGGAUAAAAUAUAAAUAAGAAAGACAAUAUAGGAGUGGCUACUACAGGUUCACUUUAAUUUAUCGAAUAAUUUACAAUUUUCAACUUGUUCAUGCAUAGCUCAAAAAGUAUAUCACUUGUAGGCCUGAAUGUUUAAAAGAAUGUUGGUCAGCAUGUGUACUUAUGCACCUUGGGGUUUACUUGUGAAUUUAUUCAGUAUUUGUAAAGUUCUUGCCCUUUACUUAGUAAAAGAUUUUUAGUUUUCAAAAAAUAUUUGACCUAGAGUCAUAAGAUUGACAGAACAGUGGCGCGUAGGGGGGGACCCGUGUCCUAUGGACACAUUCCUAGUUAUUCAAAAUGUUUGUCUUGUUUUAUUUUUCAUUAAAAUUAUAUGUAGUUCAAACAAAUUGUGAAUGCAUGAAAGCAUCUGUUUUACUUGAAAAUUUAGAACCAUAUUUUCAGUUUCAAUCAACAAAUAUCCCAACAUUUGUAUAUUUACAAUUAAAAAAUCACGAGACAGUUAAAGAGAUGUCAUUCUCAUUGACACUCUGAUUUCAUUUUAGUAAACAAAUCCUGGGCAAUGAGAUAUUUUAGGUAGCUGUGCUAUUUGUGGGUAGGUCGCGGGAGUGGGGAACAAACAAUAUUUUACAUUCAGGGGUAAGCCUAAGUUUUUAGGCUUGGUAGGAACAUUGCCCUUCCCCAGAUAAUGGCACCAACUGAUUUUGAGGUAAUUAGAUUUAAAGCUCAAGAUGGCAUAAAGUUUAACUUCCUUUAAAUAUGUGUAACAUUGUAAGGUAUAGUUUAUGUAACUCAGAAGGAAAAAUUCUGAUUGCCAUUAGUUUUAAGAUUUGUCCAUUUGAUUAUACGUUCAAGGUCUCAGUGACAUGUAAACUCAUUGUCCCAAGGUUUUGAACAUUUCCAGGGACAUUGCUUAGAUUAGUAAUUAAGCAUUAGUUUGGAGUUAAUAAGGUCUAAGGUCACAAUGGCUUAAGCAUAAUAUCCUUCAUCACCAGAAACCCAUAAGGGGUUAGCUCAAGUUCAUACAAUUUGGUUGGAAUUAAGAUAUUAUUUAUUUCCUUCUACAAUAUUGGCCAUCUUCACACUUUCUCUUCCUGUUAAGACAGCAUGGAUUGAAUAAAAAAUAAAACUAUAACUGUAAAGAAGUCACUGGUGUACAAUUUUAAGAGUAAGAAAAAGAAGAUAUGCUGUUCAUUUGAAAAUAUUUUAUUGUUGUUUUACUGCCAAUGUUCAAAUACAUGUUUCAAUUUA